rnacentral:rRNA from 1 species
UACAGAGACUGCAAGCGUUAUUCGGAUUCACUGGGCGUAAAGGGUGCGCAGGCGGCCAUGUGUGUUAGGCGUGAAAGCCUGAGGCUUAACCUCAGAAUUGCACCUAAAACUACAUGGCUAGAGCAUUGGAGAGGGUAGCGGAAUUCACGGUGUAGCAGUGAAAUGCGUAGACAUCGUGAGGAACACCAGAGGCGAAGGCGGCUACCUGGACAAUUGCUGACGCUCAGGCACGAAAGCGUGGGGAGCAAACAGG